AAACAUAACUUGGUAAUAUUGUUCUUUAGUAGUAUUUGACUGGUAAUUUUUCGUCUCAGGCAUAAAAAAAAAAAGAAUAGUUCACAUUAGGAAAAUGUUAGCAAGCUAUUUCUUAUUAUCAUUUUUCCUGCUACUUAAACUAUCCACUCCUCUUUUAUGUUUAUAAUGGUCUCUGAACUGCUAAUCUCGUGGGUUCAUCAAUGAUAAUGGAGCUUUUCACAUAUCACACUGAGGUUGCAUUGAGGACGUUAGCUAAGUGUGGAUGGGAGGACAGGCAGGAAACCUGACUGCAGUUCAUCACCGUUAUACAGGAAGGACUGCUGGAAAAAGGGAAAAAUCUGCAAACCAGGCAAACAUUUGAUAGCGCUGUCACUGAAAUGUGCAAAGACAACUGGCAGAAGGCAGCUUGGGGCCACAUAACUGCCACAGCAGGCGGCUGGGCUCUCCCCCUUUGCUCCUGAAAGUUAUCCUCCCACCUCUUUUAAUCCACCCUCACUCCACUUUGGCCCUAAUCCUCUCAUUCCUCCCUGUUUUUAUCUUCCUCCUGUUUAACUCCCUCUCGGCCUCCCCUCUUCCUCCAUCCCUCCUUUGUCUCUAAGAACCCGAACGCUCCAGUGAAGCAUAUUGAAAAUGAAGACUUGACACAUAUGGUUAAAAGGAAUCCAAGGAACACAACUCAGGGAGCUUAAAGUUAUAUUUUCCAUGCUUAAAAGUAGUACUGUGCACAAGAAAUAGGAAAUGCACAGCGACAUCUGCCUCAACACGAUGAAGAUUCCCUGGAAAUGAAGGAAAACGAAACCUUCUUGUGAAAUCCUGCUGAGUGGAUUGUUAUUGACAUCAGUCGGAAGCAAAAAAAGAAGGAGAAGAUAAAAAACAGUCCAGCUCUGCUGUUUGGAUAACCAAAAAUGUCAAGCUGGUCCAGUAGUGGAAGAGCAGCGAGGAGCUUCCUGCAGCCCAAGGAGCUCUGGAGGAAUAGCAUGGAAUAAGUGUGUGUGUGAGCUCGUGUCUUCAUGUGGGUACAAGUUUGUAUGUCUUCUUACUCUUGUGUGCAUGUGUGUCUAUUUGUGACACGUAAUGCAGCAGGACCACACAGUCCUUGUGGUAUGCGGGAUUUCCAGGUUCAAAAUAGGCUCCUGCUGUGGGAGGAGGGCAGGAACAAACAGGAGAGAGGGGGAGAAGGGAAGGAGAAGUGUAAUGAGGACAACAAAAUACACGACUCCAGUUUUCAUCUUCUUGUCAACAUUGUUACAGUUGAGUCAACCGCUUGUCAACAAGGGGAAGUUUCUGUGGUUUACUGACAUGACAGCUGUCAUGGUGUCACAGAUGGAAAGUGGCCAGAUCUAUUUAAUUGGCGUGUUGGGAGGGAAAGAAGCACUACUGCAUUGCAAACAGCUUAAGAGAAAAGUCAAACUCCUAAUGGAUGAAAAUAUUUCUUCACUCUGAUCAAAGUGAGGAACCGGAGGCCUAAACAGUGAUCAAACCUCUUUUGAACUGUAUUUCAAAUAUUGUAUGAACGAAAUCCAGGACUUCCCACCUGAUGCAAUGGUCCAUAAAAACACUUAAAAAACUCCAGUAAGAAACUGAAACAACCCGUGUGUCUUUUCAUCUGUCAAACAAUUUCGCUUGUUACUUUGAGGAAGGUCUCACAUAUGGGAACACAUCAGGAGAUGCACACAUUUCUUUGCCCUUUAGCACUAACAGGUCUCCAGCUGACAGAUUCCAUAAUGCUAUUAUAACUAUUUAGUGCGUUUUACGAUAAACGUUAAACCUUUUCAGGCUGUAUGCAAGUCUAAAAUUGGUGGAGUGACCCUUUAAAGUCAAAGCCUUGACGUUGUGGACGCGCAAGAGGCAGAAAUGUGAUUCUGUACAACCCAGCUUACUUUUGCACCAUUAUUUUUAC